rnacentral:misc_RNA from 1 species
CGCGUCGAGACGGCACUGCAGAAGCAGGCGAGUUCGCGAGUGUAUCGAUUUUACGAUCGUGUUCCUCUCGCGGUGCUAGUGCGUCCGCCGUUUCCCUUAGUUUUUUAGUGGCCGUGCACGUCGUACAUGGAUAAAACUGUGAAUGGGAUUACCCGCUAGACACGCCGCUCCGUAUACCGCCCGCUGACUCGCAACUCCUCGUCACCCUUCACCAUGACCAAGGAUAGAUUAGCAGCCCUCGUCGCGGCCCAGUCGGACGACGACGAUGUGGCGGACGAUGUGUCCGUCAACGUCGGGGCGCCGGAUGAUUUCAUGACGGAAUUUUUCGCAGAGGUGGAGGAAAUCCGUGAAUUGAUAGAUAGUAUCCAGAGGAAUGUGGAAGAUGUGAAGAAGAAACAUAGCGCCAUUCUGUCUGCGCCGCAAACUGAUGAAAGGGUGAAACAAGAGUUGGAAGAUCUGAUGACCGAUAUCAAGAAAACGGCUAACAAAGUGAGGGCUAAAUUAAAGGUGAUAGAGGAAAGCAUCGAACGAGAUGAGCACACGAACAAAUCAUCGGCGGAUCUCAGGAUACGCAAGACUCAGCAAUCGACGUUGUCCAGGAAGUUCGUCGAGGUGAUGACGGAGUACAAUCGAACACAGACCGAUUACAGGGAGCGGUGUAAGGGGAGAAUACAACGACAGCUCGAAAUCACGGGGAGAACGACAACUAAUGAAGAGCUCGAAGAGAUGCUGGAGCAGGGAAAUCCAGCCGUUUUCACGCAAGGGAUCAUCAUGGAAACGCAACAAGCAAAACAGACUCUCGCGGACAUCGAGGCGCGUCACGCUGAUAUCAUUAAACUCGAAAACUCCAUCAGAGAACUCCACGACAUGUUCAUGGACAUGGCCAUGCUGGUGGAGAGUCAGGGUGAGAUGAUAGAUCGCAUAGAGUACCACGUGGAACACGCGGUGGACUACGUGCAGACGGCCACGCAGGACACCAAAAAAGCACUCAAGUAUCAAAGCAAAGCCCGACGGAAAAUGAUCUUCAUCAUAAUCUGCGUCCUAAUAUCGGCGGUCAUACUAGUCGCCAUAAUAAUAGGGUUCCUUCCGAGAUCUUAAACGGCCAAGGGGGGUGUUUUGAGAAGAAAGGGAAUAGGUCGGGGACGAACGAGAGAUACGAUUGAGAAUUGUUAAGGAGAAGGCAGAAAGGGAAAAGAAAACGAGUGCGGCAGCGAAUAUGUCAUAAUAAUAAUAAUAAUAAAUAAUAAUAAUAGUAAUAAUAGUAUGAUAACGAUAACAAUAAAAGAAUAAUAAUUGGAGAAACUUAAUCGCGAUCAGCUCGCGGAAAACGCGUGAAGUCGAAUGUGCAGUGUGAUCAGAAGUUUCGGGGCAGAUGGACACGUGAAUUGAUCAUGAUGGCGAGUCGCCUGUGAGAGCUGUGAACGUAUUCUAAAAGUCACACGUGUACUAAACCAAGGAAAAAGAGAAAUGAUGCAAAUAAUAAAUAACGGGUGUCCCGCGUCGAUCCCAAUAACAUAUGUCUCUCCGUAAUCUUACAAGAUAAUUCUCCGACUAAUCUCUAUAAUGAACGACCACUAACGCAAUAACUCGCACUCGUGACAUCCGCAUGUUUCGUUAACAAAAUUGUUCCUGAUAGCGAUCUGCGUGGCGAUAGCAGUCAUCAUUCUGAUUAUCAUUCUGGCAGUUAGUUUACAUUAGUUUAAACACGCGUGCGAGCGCGUGCGGCAACGUGAGGAAAAAGAAAUAUACUUUCGCAAGUUUCACGACAAGAAGAGAGAUAGAACAAAUCGAGACGAGAUACUUUCGUAUCUCGUCAUCCCUCACGUUCGUUCCUUUGUCUGUAGGGACGGUAGGCCAGGGACGCGACGAAGAUUAACGUGAAUCGCAUCAGUUUCGAAUCUUUCUCAAAGGACUCGAACAAUGCGAUACACGUGGAUUCCAAUUCUUGAGAUAUAUCGUCAAUGUUUCAGAUAUCUCGUUACAUUUAUUUAUUAUUAAUUCUUAAUAAAUUUUACGCGGUUUCACAUUUAUUUAUUGUGUCAUUUAAUAACAAUGUCGAUUGCAAUCUUACUUGCAGAAUGUCGUCUGCAUCGUUACAGCCGUAGAUAAUCGAUCGCACAUUGAUCGCAUAUGACGGUAAUUAAAAUCUAUUCUGCGGAUGUCGUAACUUGCCGGAAAUCGUCUCGUAGACAUCGUAAUGUUGGUAGAAGUCAGGAACGGUGAUGACAUGAACGCUUAGUCUUGGUUACACACAAAGCCGCGAAACGAUCGCUAUGUCAACGGAGAUUCGAACGGAGCAUCAAUAGAGUUUCAUUGCGUUCCGAUACACUGAAAAAUGUGUGCUAUUGCGAUAUCGAUUUCCAUUUCAUCUUUUUUUUAAAUAUUUAUGUUACUGAGAGAGAAGAGAGAAUAUAAUAAUUCAUGUAAAAUUACUUUGGAAUUAUUUUUAAAACUUAUAAAAAGUACUGAAAGUCAAGCAUUAAUUUGUUUUGGAAAUAUUAUUGCACACCGAGUGAACACUAAAUCUUGAAAACGAAAAUAAGAAAUCCCAAGAGAGGUGGUCUUAUCUUGGGAUUCGGUGUUUCCUUUGUGGUGAAUGGAUCGAUACGCCGUCGUCGACAGCUUUUCCUUGUAUUCGAGCGCGCUUUUACACUGCCUUUUGUUAUUUUAUCCAUAUUAUUUUUAUCGCUUUACCGUUCCUGAGAAAGUUCGAGGCGAACUGGGAUGAAGACCGCGACUGCACAAUCGAAUAUCACGCGCGACGUACGGCAUCAAAGACGUGUAUCUCUUCCGAAAUCACUGUCAAUCAAAGUUCGUAGCCGAUUUAACGAAAAAGUUCUCGGUUUUUUCAUAUGGAGAGUAGUGACAACAAAAUAAGCGAAAUUAUCUACGGCUCUAUUCCUUUAUCUAUCAUUAUUUUUCUAUUAUUAUGGCGAUAUUUAAGUCUUGCAUCGUUUCAAAAACUUUUGCUUGAAAUUUUUUAAAUGUCAAAAGUAAUAAUCAAUGAAAUGGUCAAUUUUUCUUAUGUCUUGAAAACCGAUCUUUACAUUUUCUAUCGUGUUUGUUGUCGCAACAAACUCGCCGGAUACUGUGAAAUCAGCAAUACUCUACAAAGAAGAGAGUCUGGUGGAAUCGGCGACAUAAGAGAGCGCACGAAAGCGCUUUCGGAUUUACCCCAGAAUCGUGCGUUUGUUCCUUCGCGAAAUGUGAUAGAGAAGAUGCCAUCUCCUCGUGCCGAGUGCUCUAGUCUUUUCGUAGGCUGGUGCGAGAAUUUCUCUCUGCCGAAACGUUAAUCCGCGUGACGACGAUGACGAUGAUAACGACGACGUGUUUGAUGAGACGCACGCACGUUUCAACGAACAAAAAUCGAUCGCCCGAACUCUAAUAAUCAUCGUCGUCGCAUUGCAGACCGCACAAAAUGCAACGCGCGCAUUAUAUCUGUAAAUAAUUGCAAUUUGUAUAGAGAAGAUAAUAAUAACUACUACUAAUAAUAAUAACGAGGUAACGA